rnacentral:rRNA from 1 species
CGACGUGAGCAAUCUGCCUUGGAGUGGGGAAUAACGGCUGGAAACAGCCGCUAAUACCGCAUGACGCGUCUGGGAGGCAUCUCUCUGGACGCCAAAGAUUUAUCGCUCUGAGAUGAGCUCGCGUCUGAUUAGCUAGUUGGCGGGGUAACGGCCCACCAAGGCGACGAUCAGUAGCCGGACUGAGAGGUUGGCCGGCCACAUUGGGACUGAGACACGGCCCAGACUCCUACGGAAGGCAGCAG